rnacentral:rRNA from 1 species
CGUAACAAGGUUUCCGUAGGUGACCUGCGGAAGGAUCAUUA